rnacentral:rRNA from 1 species
UACGAAGGGGGCUAGCGUUGUUCGGAAUUACUGGGCGUAAAGCGCGCGCAGGCGGUCUUUCAAGUCAGUGGUGAAAGCCCGGAGCUCAACUCCGGAAAUGCCAUUGAAACUGUGAGACUUGAGGAUGAGAGAGGUGAGUGGAACUGCGAGUGUAGAGGUGAAAUUCGUAGAUAUUCGCAAGAACACCAGUGGCGAAGGCGGCUCACUGGCCCGGUACUGACGCUGAGGUGCGAAAGCGUGGGGAGCAAACAGG